GACGAACGCUGGCGGCGUGCUUAACACAUGCAAGUCGAACGGAAAGGCCCUGCUUUUGUUGGUUGCUCGAGUGGCGAACGGGUGAGUAACACGUGAGUAACCUGCCCUUGACUUUGGGAUAACUUCAGGAAACUGGGGCUAAUACCGGAUAGGAGCUCCUGCUGCAUGGUGGGGGUUGGAAAGUUUCGGCGGUUGGGGAUGGACUCGCGGCUUAUCAGCUUGUUUGUGGGGUAGUGGCUUACCAAGGGUUUGACGGGUAGCCGGCCUGAGAGGGUGACCGGCCAAAUUGGGACUGAGAUACGGCGCAGACUCCAACGGGAGGCAGCAGUGGGGAAUAUUGCACAAUGGGAGGAAGACUGAUGAAGAAAAGCAGCGUGCGGGAUGACGGCCUUCGGGUUGUAAACCGCUUUCGCGUGUGACGAAGCGUGAGUGACGGUAAUGGGUAAAGAAGCACCGGCUAACUACGUG
rnacentral:rRNA from 1 species